rnacentral:misc_RNA from 1 species
UUCAGUUUUCGAUUUUAUCGGUUCAGUUCAGUUCUGAACUGAACUGAAUCGACCGUUUGCACACCCCUAGAUAUGAGCAUUAACAUACCAAAUGAAGUAAAACUUACCAUUUACAUUUUUUAAUUAUAAAUUAAAUAUCUAGAUUAUUUCUUAGAUCCUAUUUAGCAAUAUUAGUUCUUUUACUAACUAUUAGCAAUUAUAUAUUUAUAUUAGUUGUUAAAUAUAAAAAUAGUAGUAUCAUCUACCUUAAGGCCCAAGCCAUAAGAAAUGCAAAAGGAGGAUGAAUUAUCUUAAAUCUUAUGUGAGCUAGUAACAAAACAUUAUCCAUUGCUGAAACAAGGAUAGUUGAACAAGUUAAUGAUA